rnacentral:rRNA from 1 species
GGGUUGUGAGGUUAAGCGACCAAGCGUACACGGUGGAUGCCCUGGCAGUCAGAGGCGAUGAAGGACGUGCUAAUCUGCGAAAAGCGCCGGUAAGGUGAUAUGAACCGUUAUAACCGGCGAUGUCCGAAUGGGGAAACCCAGUGUGAUUCGUCACACUAUCAUUAACUGAAUCCAUAGGUUAAUGAGGCGAACCGGGGGAACUGAAACAUCUAAGUACCCCGAGGAAAAGAAAUCAACCGAGAUUCCCCCAGUAGCGGCGAGCGAACGGGGAGGAGCCCAGAGCCUGAAUCAGCAUGUGUGUUAGUGGAAGCGUCUGGAAAGGCGCGCGAUACAGGGUGACAGCCCCGUACACAAAAGCGCAUGUGCUGUGAGCUCGAUGAGUAGGGCGGGACACGUGGUAUCCUGUCUGAAUAUGGGGGGACCAUCCUCCAAGGCUAAAUACUCCUGACUGACCGAUAGUGAACCAGUACCGUGAGGGAAAGGCGAAAAGAACCCCGGCGAGGGGAGUGAAACAGAACCUGAAACCGUGUACGUACAAGCAGUGGGAGCCCCACCACUAAGCCAGUGGUGAACUCCACAUACGCAUCCUUUGCUGAGGAUGCGGUUAACGAAGCGAAAGCGACGUUCAACCGCAAAAGAAGCAGAGGGGGCUUAGUGGUGGGGUGACUGCGUACCUUUUGUAUAAUGGGUCAGCGACUUAUAUUCUGUAGCAAGGUUAACCGCAUAGGGGAGCCGGAGGGAAACCGAGUCUUAAUUGGGCGUUAAGUUGCAGGGUAUAGACCCGAAACCCGGUGAUCUAGCCAUGGGCAGGUUGAAGGUUGGGUAACACUAACUGGAGGACCGAACCGACUAAUGUUGAAAAAUUAGCGGAUGACCUGUGGCUGGGGGUGAAAGGCCAAUCAAACCGGGAGAUAGCUGGUUCUCCCCGAAAGCUAUUUAGGUAGCGCCUCGUGAAUUCAUCUCCGGGGGUAGAGCACUGUUUCGGCCAGGGGGCCAUCCCGGCUUACCAACCCGAUGCAAACUGCGAAUACCGGAGAAUGUUAUCACGGGAGACACACGGCGGGUGCUAACGUCCGUCGUGAAGAGGGAAACAACCCAGACCGCCAGCUAAGGUCCCAAAGUCAUGGUUAAGUGGGAAACGAUGUGGGAAGGCCCAGACAGCCAGGAUGUUGGCUUAGAAGCAGCCAUCAUUUAAAGAAAGCGUAAUAGCUCACUGGUCGAGUCGGCCUGCGCGGAAGAUGUAACGGGGCUAAACCAUGCACCGAAGCUGCGGCAGCGACGCUUAUGCGUUGUUGGGUAGGGGAGCGUUCUGUAAGCCUGCGAAGGUGGCCUGUGAGGGUUGCUGGAGGUAUCAGAAGUGCGAAUGCUGACAUAAGUAACGAUAAAGCGGGUGAAAAGCCCGCUCGCCGGAAGACCAAGGGUUCCUGUCCAACGUUAAUCGGGGCAGGGUGAGUCGACCCCUAAGGCGAGGCCGAAAGGCGUAGUCGAUGGGAAACGGGUUAAUAUUCCCGUACUUGGUGUUACUGCGAAGGGGGGACGGAGAAGGCUAUGUUGGCCGGGCGACGGUUGUCCCGGUUUAAGCGUGUAGGUGUGUGUUCCAGGUAAAUCCGGUUCACUUUAACACUGAGGCGUGAUGACGAGGCACUACGGUGCUGAAGCAACAAAUGCCCUGCUUCCAGGAAAAGCCUCUAAGCAUCAGGUAACAUCAAAUCGUACCCCAAACCGACACAGGUGGUCAGGUAGAGAAUACCAAGGCGCUUGAGAGAACUCGGGUGAAGGAACUAGGCAAAAUGGUGCCGUAACUUCGGGAGAAGGCACGCUGACACGUAGGUGAAGUGAUUUACUCAUGGAGCUGAAGUCAGUCGAAGAUACCAGCUGGCUGCAACUGUUUAUUAAAAACACAGCACUGUGCAAACACGAAAGUGGACGUAUACGGUGUGACGCCUGCCCGGUGCCGGAAGGUUAAUUGAUGGGGUCAGCGCAAGCGAAGCUCCUGAUCGAAGCCCCGGUAAACGGCGGCCGUAACUAUAACGGUCCUAAGGUAGCGAAAUUCCUUGUCGGGUAAGUUCCGACCUGCACGAAUGGCGUAAUGAUGGCCAGGCUGUCUCCACCCGGGACUCAGUGAAAUUGAACUCGCUGUGAAGAUGCAGUGUACCCGCGGCAAGACGGAAAGACCCCGUGAACCUUUACUAUAGCUUGACACUGAACAUUGAGCCUUGAUGUGUAGGAUAGGUGGGAGGCUUUGAAGUGUGGACGCCAGUCUGCAUGGAGCCGACCUUGAAAUACCACCCUUUAAUGUUUGAUGUUCUAACGUGGACCCGUUACCCGGGUUGCGGACAGUGUCUGGUGGGUAGUUUGACUGGGGCGGUCUCCUCCUAAAGAGUAACGGAGGAGCACGAAGGUUGGCUAAUCCUGGUCGGACAUCAGGAGGUUAGUGCAAUGGCAUAAGCCAGCUUGACUGCGAGCGUGACGGCGCGAGCAGGUGCGAAAGCAGGUCAUAGUGAUCCGGUGGUUCUGAAUGGAAGGGCCAUCGCUCAACGGAUAAAAGGUACUCCGGGGAUAACAGGCUGAUACCGCCCAAGAGUUCAUAUCGACGGCGGUGUUUGGCACCUCGAUGUCGGCUCAUCACAUCCUGGGGCUGAAGUAGGUCCCAAGGGUAUGGCUGUUCGCCAUUUAAAGUGGUACGCGAGCUGGGUUUAGAACGUCGUGAGACAGUUCGGUCCCUAUCUGCCGUGGGCGCUGGAGAACUGAGGGGGGCUGCUCCUAGUACGAGAGGACCGGAGUGGACGCAUCACUGGUGUUCGGGUUGUCAUGCCAAUGGCACUGCCCGGUAGCUAAAUGCGGAAGAGAUAAGUGCUGAAAGCAUCUAAGCACGAAACUUGCCCCGAGAUGAGUUCUCCCUGAGACUUUAGGUCUCCUGAAGGAACGUUGAAGACGACGACGUUGAUAGGCCGGGUGUGUAAGCGCAGCGAUGCGUUGAGCUAACCGGUACUAAUGAACCGUGAGGCUUAACCUUACAACGCCGAAG